UGCAUCGUUGUCAAUAUAAUGGAAUUUGAUGCGACUGUCAUACAAGUGAGAGGUUCAGGUAACUAUAAAACCAGGUUCAAUCCCCCAUUUUCUACAUAAGAAAAUGACUGUACCAAGUCAGGAAUAUGACAGUUCGUUUGAUUUGUUUGAGCUUUUGAUUUUGCCAUUUGAUUAGGGAAUUUCCGUUUUGAAUUCAGUUUUUUUUUGUGAUAUUGGUUUUCACUACAUCAUGCCGUUAGCUCUUUUCCUUUUUUUUUUUUUGGUUUAGAAUAGCCCAUCUGAAUUGAUACUUGCUCCUUCCUCUAGCUAACAUGGAUUCUUAUUAUAUUUCCUUCAUCGUUUUAUUUCCUGCUUCUCCAUGGAUGCGUUCGACCGAUU
rnacentral:lncRNA from 1 species